UACGAAGGGGGCUAGCGUUGCUCGGAAUUACUGGGCGUAAAGCGUGCGCAGGCGGUUUUGUAAGUUUGUCGUGAAAGCCCCGGGCUCAACCUGGGAAUUGCGAUGAAGACUGCAAGGCUUGAAUCUGGCAGAGGGGGUAGAAUUCCACGUGUAGCAGUGAAAUGCGUAGAGAUGUGGAGGAACACCGAUGGCGAAGGCAGCCCCCUGGGUCAAGAUUGACGCUCAUGCACGAAAGCGUGGGGAGCAAACAGG
rnacentral:rRNA from 1 species